UUUAAAAUUUCAGCUUUUAUCAACUUAUUAUUCAUUAUUAUUAUUAUCAUGUACAUUAACUACUAUUAUUAUUAAUUUUAAUAAAUUGAACUAUUAAUUUAAUAUUUUUCUGUAGCAUUAAAACUUUGUUUGUUUUUUUCUAACCUAAACAAAUUUUUACCAAAUGUCAAUUGACUAAUUUAAAAAUAUAUUAAAAACGUGUGCCGUAAAAUGGGGUGAAUAGAAUUCACGACGUGAAUGGAAAUAUUCUUGGGAGAAAAUCUAAAACCCUGAUUUGUAAAAACUGCAACAGUAUUCGUACUUUUUAGAAUUUUUUUUUACAUUGUCAACACUUCUUCUUUAGUCUGACAACAUUUGAAUCAUUUAGAAGAAAAAAAACAAAAUGUUGUUUAUGGACGAUACUUGUUAGGGUGAUUCGCCCUUACAAACAGGCGUAAGGAUGUACUUAGAAGUAAUUUUAUCAAACCAAUUUAUAUAUAUAUUGUUAACACAAUAGGAAAUGUUUAAAAACAAACGAAUAAUGCAAAAUUAAGCAUCAAUUGAAAAUACUCCAAUUUGAUGCUGUUUUGUUAAUGUAACCACUUGUAAAUUACGUACUCCGUGCGUGAAAAUUAAUUUAAGAUAGGCUAUAAGGUCUUGUAACCGUUGGCCGUUAACAAAUUAAAAAAAAAAUUAGAAGAAAAGUUUGAAUUGAACUGCAACUGUUUUUUGUAUGCGUUUUGUGCUCCUAUUUAUAUAAUAUAUUAUAAAUACAUCGUGUUAUUGACAGUAAACCCAGUUAAUUUUGUAGUCAAUUUUAUUCUGUACAAAUCGCAAAGAGGUAAAUAGAGACGACUGAGGGGUAAAUAGAAACGACGAGCAGAGUGAAUAGUGGCAAAUAGAAAUUGGCCACUAUUUUGGCCUUUUCACCUAAGGAGGCGAUAAUUUAAAGUUCUAACUCUAACAGUGUUAAGGUGGUAGAAUAGCAUCAGACUCCCGCUAUAAAGCGAUUUUACUGUCAGAAACAUAUAAUUUUGAUUGUUUAAAUUGUCAUAAAUGCCUAAAAAAGGAAAGUCCAAAUUAAAUUUGGUGACGUCUAAAUCAAAGUAUAUGAAAGCCAAGCGUGCAUGUGAAAGUCAAGAUGAAACGGAAAAUAGAUUACAAAAAGAACAAAAAAGGAAACAAGCUUUACGACGAAUGAAUUCAAAAAUUCUUUGUAAAGUAAAAGUUGAAAGUAAAAAUAAUUAAUGUAUGACCCCUCAGUUGAUUAAAAACAAGAAUAAAAAUUAAGUUGUAAGGCUUAUGGUGACACAAAAUGAAUUUAAUAGCUCAUGUUGUUAUCGCCAGAUAUCUAAUAAAUUCUGGGUUGAUAUGUACUCUAAAACUUAAAGUGAACAAUUUCCAUUAGCAUAAGGUUUACUGGCGGUCCACUAUGACACCGAAUUCAAACUAUACAGGAAGAAAUAACU